rnacentral:lncRNA from 1 species
GAGACGCGCUCUUUGUAGCUGAAGUGACCCAGCUCCAGGUACACCGGCCCCAACUCUCAAAUUCACUUAAGAAAGAGUACGAAGGCCACACAAGUUUAUUGCAAGAACUGGACAAGAAGAAACCGUAUAGCCGUAACCCGGCCAGCUGUUAUUAUCCAGUAUUUAACAUCGCUCAGGCGGCCCACUGUCUGGAGCCCCGGGAGAGGAGACGCUCCUGUCAGGACAGCCGGCCGGAGAGACGGUGGGUCCCGGAACCGCGAGAGAUCAACCGGCCGCAAGCUGAACGAGUCCGGCGAACAACCAGGGCGAUGUCACUGUAUUCGGGUGUCUGAAAGUCCUCAGCCGUUAUAUACAUUAUAAACGAUUUGGUAAGUUAAGGCUUCUUUUUAUCUGCAGUACCGUGAGUCUUGAGCCCUUGUAACAGAAUCCACAGCUGUCAUUCAGGAGCCGGGCCCGCCCCCAGAGUGACCUUCCUCAGCGGACACGCCCCGUCCACCUGUUCCACAGGUGCGCCCGGCAAGAUGGCGGCGGGGUGAGGUUCUGCGGUGUUAGGUGCGUUUGCGUUUUCCUUCUAAUUUUCUUAUUUUAAAUACAAAAACUCAAAUUUUACUUAGAGGAAAGUUAGACAAAAAAUGUUUUGUUGUUGCAACUUUUGUUAAUUGCAUUUGUUCCUGUUUAAUUUGUGUUUUAGGACGCCGAAAUGAGUGUUCUGUUUGAGCGUGCUCUCGACGUUUUAGAAGUCAUGUAAGUAUGUUUUUAUAAGAUAAGGUUUGUUUCUUUCAACGAAUAAAGGCUGAAGUUAACCUUCAAACAUUUGCUUUCUAAAGUCAGUAGCUGUGAAAUCUCCGCUUUUCAGAUCCGGGCUAUAAAAACGCUUUCCGCUCAGAAAAUGAUAAAACAUUGUAAAGAUUUAAUUGUCUAAUUCGUAUGUUUUUUUUUUCUUUUGGUGACAAAAGGAUUUCAAGAACGGGUCUCCAAUUAUGAAAACUGUUUUUUUCCAGGGCAAGUUCUAUUACUCCCUUGCACUAUACUGUUUAUAUUUGUGCAACACGUAUUUCCCAACGUUUUAACACCAGAACAGGUUUAUACUAACUAUAUAACUUUUGCUCUUUUCAUUGUGCUUUUGUUGAAUAGAAAUUGAACCUCUAAGGCCGCUGGUUCUUUUAUUCAUCUAUUGAAUCCAUUGGGUAAAGAUGGAUAAUACCGACAUAUUUGCACGAUGGUUUUCAAUGCGUGGAGUUAAAUCGAAUAUGAUAAACGCUAUAAGUGGUACUUUCUUUAUACAGGCAGCAAAAAAAAGUGAAUAGACCUCAGAUCGUCAACUGAAUCGAUUCUGCAAAUCCGAUAUCUUGUUAACUUGAUUCUUUUUUUUGUUUGCCUUCAGUUCUGCGGCUCCUGGUUAUCUGGUUCUCCUUUCCAGCUCCACUCCAGCAACUCGACGAGCGUUGGCAAGUUAUUCUUGACAAUGUGUGCUUUUCCUGUAAUUUUGUUUCUGAUAUCCGUGGCUUGAUCUGUUGUGUACCCUUUGUAUACCGUUUUGCCUUUUUCUUAACCUGCAUGUUUACUGUUGACUGCUGCUACUGUAUUUGCUGUGCAUUAUGCAAUAAGAACUCGUUAAUUUCACAGGUGCGCCUGGCAAGAUGGCGGCGGGGCGAGUGUCUGCGGCGUUAGGUGCGUUUGCGUUUUAAUUCUGAUUUUCUUAUUUUAAAUGCAGAAAAACUCCAAUUUCACUUUGAGAAAAGUUAGACAAAUGUUUUGUUGUUGCAGCUUUUGUUAAUUUCAUGUUUUUUUUUGUUUAAUUUGUGUUUUACGACGCCGAAAUGAAUGUCCUCUCUGAGCGUGCUCUCAAAGUUUUAGAAGUCUGCAUUCAGCGUUCUUAAGUAGUUUCUUAAGUAGUUUUUAAAGACAUGCUAUAUCUAGCUCUGUUUCCUUUAAAGAAAAAAACUAAUUUAUCUUAAGUCAUUUGCUGUAUAAAGUUUUUAACAGUGUAUCUCUGGUUUUUAAAAUCUGGUUAUAAUAUCGCUUUCCGUUCCGAUACGAUAAUCGUUUGCAAAUAUUAAAUGUAUUAAUUCGUAUAUUUCUUAUUUCUCCAGGUGACAAAGGGAUUUCAAAAACGGGCCACAAGUUAUUAAAGUGUUUUUUCCGAGGUAAGUUGUAUUCUUAUCUUACGCUAUAUUUAUGUAUUAAAGUCGACAUGUAUUUCAC